GAUGAACGCUGGCGGCGUGCCUAAUACAUGCAAGUCGAGCGAACGGACGAGAAGCUUGCUUUUCUGAUGUUAGCGGCGGACGGGUGAGUAACACGUGGAUAACCUACCUAUAAGACUGGGAUAACUUCGGGAAACCGGAGCUAAUACCGGAUAAUAUUUUGAACCGCAUGGUUCAUAAGUGAAAGACGGUCUUGCUGUCACUUAUAGAUGGAUCCGCGCUGCAUUAGCUAGUUGGUAAGGUAACGGCUUACCAAGGCAACGAUGCAUAGCCGACCUGAGAGGGGAAGCGGCCACACUGGAACUGAGACACGGUCCAGACCCCGACGGGGGGCAGGAGGAGGGAAUCUUCCGCAAUGGGCGAAAGCCUGACGGAGCACCGCCGGGGGAGUGAUGAAGGUCUGCGGAUUGUAAACCCCUUUUAUUAGGGAAAAACAUAUGUGUAAGUAACUGUGCACAUCUUGACGGUACCUAAACAGAAAGCCCCGGCGAAAUACGG
rnacentral:rRNA from 1 species